rnacentral:rRNA from 1 species
UACGUAGGGUGCGAGCGUUGUCCGGAAUUAUUGGGCGUAAAGGGCUCGUAGGCGGUUUGUCGCGUCGGGAGUGAAAACACACAGCUUAACUGUGUGCUUGCUUCCGAUACGGGCAGACUAGAGGUAUGCAGGGGAGAACGGAAUUCCUGGUGUAGCGGUGAAAUGCGCAGAUAUCAGGAGGAACACCGGUGGCGAAGGCGGGUCUCUGGGCCGAUACUGACGCUGGAGAAGCGAAAGCAUGGGGAGCGAACAGG